rnacentral:rRNA from 1 species
CGUAAACGAUGAGUGCUAAGUGUUAGGGGGUUUCCCCCCUUAGUGCCGCAGCUAACGCAUUAAGCACUCCGCUGGGGAGUACGACCGCAAGGUUGAAACUCAAAGGAAUUGACGGGGGCCCGCACAAGCGGUGGAGCAUGUGGUUUAAUUCGAAGCAACGCGAAGAACCUUACCAGGUCUUGACAUCCUUUGACAACUCUAGAGAUAGAGCUUUCCCUUCGGGGACAAAGUGACAGGUGGUGCAUGGUUGUCGUCAGCUCGUGUCGUGAGAUGUUGGGUUAAGUCCCGCAACGAGCGCAACCCUUAUUGUUAGUUGCCAUCAUUCAGUUGGGCACUCUAGCGAAACUGCCGGUGACAAACCGGAGGAAGGUGGGGAUGACGUCAAAUCAUCAUGCCCCUUAUGACCUGGGCUACACACGUGCUACAAUGGACAGUACAAUGAGCAGCGACACGGCGACGUGAAGCGAAUCUCAUAAAGCUGUCCUCAGUUCGGAUUGUAGGCUGCAACUCGCCUACAUGAAGCCGGAAUCGCUAGUAAUCGCGGAUCAGCACGCCGCGGUGAAUACGUUCCCGGGCCUUGUACACACCGCCCGUCACACCACGAAAGUUUGUAACACCCAAAGUCGGUGAGGGAACCUUCGGGAGCCAGCCGCCUAAGGUGGGAUAGAUGAUUGGGGUGAAGUCGUAACAAGGUAACCA